CUGAAACAGAAAAACCCUCGUCUGGAAAACGGCACUCAGCUGGUUACCAUGUGCCACAUGAGGCCCAAGGUCUUCAUUAACUGUGCCGGAUUCAUUAAGAUUGACACAGCUUCUCUGGGACACAGGCAUUACUCCAAGCAGCACUAGCAGAAGACUCCAUUAAUUCCACGUCAGCUAACAUUAAUAUAGCAGCUGGCAGCAGGUCUGCAGUUAAACAUCACCAGCUGUCAGAAUGGGACACGUGCCUCUCUGCACAUCAUCAC